CGAGAGUUUGUAUCCUGGCGUCAGGAUGAACGCUGGCGGCGUGCUAACACAUGCAAGUCGAGCGAAGCACUUUGCUUUGAUUCUUUCGGGAGGAAAGUAAUUUGACUGAGCGGCGGACGGGUGGAGUAACGCUGGGUAACCUGCCUCAUACAGGGGAUAACAGUUAGAAAUGACUGCUAAUACCGCAUAAGACCACAGUACUGCAUGGUACAGUGGUAAAAACUCCGGUGGUAUGAGAUGGACCCGCGUCUGAUUAGCUGGUUGUGGGGGUAACGGCCACCAAGGCGACGAUCAGUAGCCGGCCUGAGAGGGUGAACGGCCACAUUGGGACUGAGACACGGCCCAAACUCCUACGGGAGGCAGCAGUGGGGGAUAUUGCACAAUGGGGGGAACCCUGAUGCAGCGACGCCGCGUGAGCGAUGAAGUAUUUCGGUAUGCAAAGCUCUAUCAGCAGGGAAGAAAAUGACGGUACCUGACUAAGAAGCCCCGGCUAACUACGUG
rnacentral:rRNA from 1 species